rnacentral:rRNA from 1 species
AUGCUCAAUGGAGUCCCCGGCCCGCCGAUCUGGCACCGCCGCGGCCUGCGGCAAGGCGACUUCACCUCCCCGCAGCUCUUCGUGUUGGCGGUGGACACGCUCGGGCGGCUGAUGCGUCGCGCCCUCCAGACCGGCAUCCUCCAGCAGCUCCACCCCCGACGCGCCAUCCUGGCGAUCUCCCUCUACGCCGACGACGUGUUGCUCUUCUGUCAUGCCACCAUCGAGGAGGUCUCCGCUGUCAAAGGCAUCCUGGACGUGUUUGGCAUGGCUUCUGGGCUCCAGGUGAACUACACCAAGAGUUCUGCCACGGUUCUCCACGGCGAUGAUUUUGACGCGGGACUGAUUGAGCUGCUUGGGUGCCCCGUGGUGACGCUGCCGAUCACCUAUUUAGGCAUCCCACUCACCACCCGUCGCCCCUCCGCGGCCCAGCUGCAACCCCUCGUCGACGCGGUGGCGGGCCGGCUCCCUACCUGGAAGGCAUGGCGGAUGAACAAGGCCGGUCGGCUGGCGCUUGUCAAGUCGGUGCUCAGCGCGAUCCCAAUUCACCAACUGCUCGUGUUCGCACCCCCCAAGAAAACCCUGAAGCAACUUUGA